CACUGAAUCUGCGGCCCACUUUCAAAGGCUGACUCCCCGAACACACUGUGCCUUCCUCUGCCCGAUUUUUGUUACUCGUUUUCUUUUGCCCUUCUGUGAAAAAUCAGGCUGGCUGCUGGGGAGAUCCUUUCUUCAGGUUACAAGGUCCUCAUAGAUCAAAUGUCCAUUGCAGUCUUCCUGGAAACCCAAGAGUUCCACCUUUGCUUUCUCUCAGAAGCACAGAUUGACACAGUGUACAUAUCCAGGGAUUCUACAUCCACCGGUUCAAUAAUUUACGGCUUGAAGAUAUUCAUACCCAAUACAUCCAAACAGCAAUAAUCGAUUUUGCCAUUUUGGAAAAGGGGCACAAUUGGACACCAUUUAUAAAAUGGGACCUGAGCAUCCAAGGAUUUUAGUAUUCCGGGCAUGUCCUGGAACCAAACCCCAGCAGAUACCAAAGGCCAACUGUGUCUUCAGUCUGAAGAAACUGUGAUUUCUCACAACGUUUAAAAAUGUGGUUGAGAGAUUAAGAUUGUCCCGAGGCUUUUAUGGUGAUACCAGUGUGCCACAAGAAAACCCUUGCAAAAUCCUGUAUCACUUAUGGGUCUGAUGUUUAUGCUCAUACAAUCAUUCGUCCCUCAGAAGUGCAAUCUGUUAGAAGAUGGCCUGAUUUAUACUACAAAAAGAUUACAGCUUGAAGAAGAAACAGCCACAAAACCAGAAGGAAAGCUUUACAAAUCCAACCAUCUUGUAGAGAUCAUGACAUGUCUUUCCAGAUACAUGCUUGGCUGAAUCUACCCUUCAAAAGCUAUCAGCUAAAAGAGCAACAGGGAAGCAAUACAGUUUGAGAGAAAGUAAGUGUGCCCAGUUUUUCAAUAUCAUGUGCACUCAAAACAAGUCUUACAGCCAGAAAUGAACAGCUUUCAGGUAUAGUCGAGAGGUGGGACCUAACUUGUUAGCUGGAAGGUGCUGAGUUAAGCAUUUCGAGAGACAGAAUUGCAAAUCAAAGACAGCAAAUGCAAGCUCCAUUUAAACAAACCAACAUGUAGAAUGCACAUUUCCAAAACAUACAUAAAGUUCCAAGGAAGAAAAGAAGAACACAUCGCCCUUAGAUUAAUUAUGCCAUCCUUUCAGGAUCACAGGCAUCCAAAAUCUGUCUUAAAAUGAAAGCUUGAACAUUACAAUAAUUUUAGGAUACUUUCCAAACGAAUAUAACUGCACCAGCUACUUCAGGCAAGGAUUUUACUCUACUACAAUACAGUACUCAAUGUCAUUAUAUUGCUUUGGAGCCUGCCAUAACUUAAAGGUAGUUUAAGACCAAACAGGGAAAUGUCUGUAAGUUGCAAAUUAAAUUGACACAUCCACUUGGGAUGCUAACCUGGCACCAAGGAUGAUAUCUCUGAGACACUGGACAUGCACAGUUCCAUUUGCCCAGGCUUUUAACAUGUAAAAUCAUUUUAUUAGCUUAUCAGCCUGAAGCAACAUAUGACUAGAAGCACAACACUUGUGUUCAGAAUACAAGGAGGGAAAGGACAAAAAAAGGCUCCUGUCCUUGAUUGUGCCGAGAGACAAAAGAAACCCCUGACAUCACUUUGCUUGCACUGGAAAGAUAAGGCAACAAUUACCAUCAUGUAGCAGGAAACCCCAAGAGCCCCUGCAGGUAUAGCAAUGAUUCUGACAAAAACACAGUGUAUAAAAACUUUGGAUUUUGAAAUAGUUAUUGCAUACAGAAAGGCUUAAACCUGCCACAACUGGUCAUGUUCAGAAGUUCCUUUAAGGAGAACGGGCACAGAUGUGUCUGUCUUGCAUGUGUCAAAGGGUCCAAAAGUUUUAGACAGCAAUCUAAGGAUCAUCUCAUUAUACAACUGACCAUAAUAUUUCUUCAACCAGCAGCAACAAAACUCCAACCAUUUACUAAUAUUAACCACAACUUGUGAAACAGGCUGCUAAAAAGAUCAGCCUUAGUCCUUGAAGAUCAGUGAUCCUUGACAAGGAAAGCCAAAGCAGGAGAACACUGAGACCUACAAAAAAGUAAUUGGGUGUAAGGAAAUGCCUUGCUAAAAACUCCAGAUGUAACAUCAAUCACCAGGGACAAAGGCAAAAAUCAGUAAGUUCCUGCCAGUGAACCUUUAAAGGUUGACUGGUGUUUGUGAAACCCAAUACAAAGCUAUGAUUAAGGGGAAAUCUCAGAAAAGCCAUGUGAAAUAUGAUGGGUUGCAAGAAUAUGCUGCAAACUAAAAACUGUAAAGGCAAGAUUGAACAGCUCACAUAGACAUACACUCUUAGAUGUUUGCAUGUGCAUGAAUGUCAAAUCAUUCAAGUGAAUUGCAAACUAGUUCCUGGAGAAUAUCUGCUAGCCAGAACUAAGUUAUAAGAUGUUAGACUUGUUGAAUAAAAUCGAAACAGAAUUUCACAUUUCCAGAGUAAAUAUGAAAACAUCAGGCACCUGACAUUUAUCCAACCCUGACUUUCUAUCUUAUCACUCUCUAAUUAACCUCCAAAACAAUUUUGGAAUUUCACCCAAAUGCAGGCUGCUGGUAAGCCCAAACUUAGACCAUUUGCCGUUACUGUCUUGCAAACACACACUCACACAAAGACAGUAAUUACACAUGUUUCCUGAUCCAGUGCAAUGCCAGGCAAGAGAUAUUUUUAGCCCUAAUCCAUUUAAAGUGCUAAAUUCCCAGGGAAUCAACAGCAAUGCUUCACUCAUCACCCCAGCAGCAUCCGUAUGGCCACUACACUCAGCCUCAAGCUUGCAAAACCAAAGAAUGAAGCCUUCUUAGUCCAGUUUGCAUUCACUUGGACCACUACCACUGCGUCCUGCAUCCCAGUCCACUGCUGUUCCAAAUAUACACUUCUAUGAUUCUAUAACAUUGGCAUCACAGCUAAAAUGCAGGACACCACAAUUUCCCAAGAUAUUUGUCCUUUCAACCACAAGACACAUUUUUAUUCAUCAGUUUGCUAAUGGUUCCUGGAUUGAACAUCACACAUUCACAGAAGUUUCUGGAGACUGUUUUAUGCCACCUUCAUGGUGAAAUAAUGGUUCAGCCAAGCUCACUGUGAUGGACCAUCAAAAGGAAGCCUCAUGAUCACUUACACAUGAACUUCCUCAUAAAACCUGAUGACUUGUGGCUUCAUCUGGGAGGGGAACUCCACCUGCUGUGUAUGUCUGUUCCUACUUUUCAUAUAUGGUGGAUUUGCCAUGGAAUAUACCUAUGAAAACCUAAUAACUUGCAUCCCUUGGUACAACUGAUCUCACAAACACACAAAUAACGUUUUCAGAGAAGAGUGGUUGGCCUUACACUGCUGUUCCUGGACAAACUUGGAAGUUCCUGGCCAUUACUUCCCUUCCACAUCAUUUUCUCUAGUACCCAAGGUUUGUUUUUCAGUUCAAUUUUUCAAAAUUCUGAUUUUCAGCCUGUUUUACCUUUUCUUUGCUCCAGCGUCAAAUAGCUUUCCUUGUGGAUCCAUUAAUUUCGCAGCUUUAAAUUUUAAAGUGUAAGGACCUUAAUGGAACUGUUGUACUUUAUUAAUGGCAUGAGCCACUUAAGAGACUACUCAAAAACAGGGUGCAAAUUAGACAGACAGAUACAGCUAGGCAAUUUUUUUCGUAUCUCUUAUCUCUAGUGAUGGAUAAAGCGAAGAGAAACAUAUUUCUAAGAGAAAAAAGAGAAAACACAAGAUGACACAAAGCCAAAGUAAGAUGAAGUGUAUUCAGUGGGAUUUCAAAAAUCCACAUGCGUCUCUCCAAUGGCCUUCCUAGCUUGGUAAAAUUCCAGUUACAUGGCACCAGAGCCUCACCGAGAUGGCUGCAGCAACAAUUACAAUGUCCUCUACUGUACAGUACUGCUAUAAGCCAGUGAACCUUUGGGCACUGUGGGAGCCAUAACAUGCUCAAGGAUGCCACGUAAAUAUGUCUCCAUAGCAACUGCGGAGAUGUAUUGAACUCUCAUGGUUUACCAAUUGAUUUUAUGAUCCACAAAGGGAUCAGAGUGUGCAACAAAGCGAGCAGAAAGGUCCCCAUCGGAGAGAAAGCCAGCCUCAAAGCCAUGGCAAACGCAAAGGACACUACAGCACAGGCUUAUCAAAGGGUUACCAAUAUCCAUCUGGAAUAAUUAAAUCUUCUUAAUGGCAUGCAA